GAUAGAAACUAAAAUCGAGGCCUUCCUGAAAGAAGGGUUAGGUCAACAGCCUAAAAUUGUAUGCACUCGGUCUCUUUUCUUUGUUUGAUUUUAACCACCUUUUUUUCUACAGUUGUUAUGAAUCUCAUCAUCAAUUCUUAUUUUUACACAGGAUCCCAGGGAGAAGGCUAAAGCUGAAAUAAGAGAUUGGCUUAACAGUGUGGUAUGUUAAAUGCAUCACCUUGUAUGAUCUUAUUUAUCUACAUGUAUGUUGUUGGCUUUCGGUAAACAGAAGCAAACGAAGAAGUUACCUGCAAAAUAUAUGUCAUGUAUUGUUGUUUCUCUUUGGCCUAGAGUAUGUUCCGAAAGACACAAGUUACCUGCAACACUAAUGUAUCAAAUACAUUUUUAUGAAUACAGCCGCGCACAUGUACAGAUAUUGAAGACGAAGGAAGUGACACUGGGAGUGACAAAAAUGAAGAAGCAGAGAGCAGGGUCUUGAAGAUACAAAUUUAGAAGAGAGAUGAUAUGACGUAGAGAUCACUGACACUGAAGCAUCAGAGGGUUAGCUGUAUGAAACAUUAGAGAAGGAACGAAGAACUGGUAGAGGAAUGAAAGAUUUUCCUGUCGUUUAGCUACAGAAAUGAGCCUUACAUUUUUU
rnacentral:lncRNA from 1 species